UGAUGCGAUCAUACCAGCACUAAUGCACUUGAUCCUAUCAGAACACCGCAGUUAAGUGUGCUUGGGCGAGAGUAGUAGUAGGAUGGGUGACCUCCAGAAAAGUCUUCGUGUUGCAUCCC
rfam:Arabidopsis thaliana chromosome 3, complete sequence.